GCCCCAUCACUUGAUGAUACCAAUAAUAUGAUUUCUUCAUUUCCAAAAUUUCUUAUACCACGUUUACAUAAUUACGUUGCCUUCUGCUUGUUGAUCAGUGGCAUAUACGCUGUCCACAAUGAGCAUAAUUAUCUGACAUAAUAUUGUCUUCCUGUUGUUUAAGCCCCCAUUUGACUUAUCGACUUUGGGAGACUGUUUCUUUGGGCUUUCCCUGGUGUAUAAUUUUCAAGAUUUGUUUUUAUUUGGAUGAC